rnacentral:rRNA from 1 species
GGGCCCGCACAAGCGGUGGAGUAUGUGGUUUAAUUCGAUGCAACGCGAAGAACCUUACCAGGGCUUAAAUGUAGUGGGACAGGUCUAGAGAUAGACCCUUCUUCGGACUCAUUACAAGGUGCUGCAUGGUUGUCGUCAGCUCGUGCCGUGAGUGUCAGGUUAAGUCCUAUAACGAGCGCAACCCCUAUCGUUAGUUGCCAGCGAGUAAUGUCGGGAACUCUAACGAAACUGCCAGUGCAAACUGUGAGGAAGGUGGGGGAUGACGUCAAAUCAUCACGGCCCUUACGUCCUGGGCUACACACGUGCUACAAUGGCCGGUACAGAGAGCAGCCACUUCGCAAGAAG